GAUGAACGCUGGCGGCGUGCCUAAUACAUGCAAGUCGAGCGAACGGACGAGAAGCUUGCUUUUCUGAUGUUAGCGGCGGACGGGUGAGUAACACGUGGAUAACCUACCUAUAAGACUGGGAUAACUUCGGGAAACCGGAGCUAAUACCGGAUAAUAUUUUGAACCGCAUGGGUCAAAAGUGAAAGACGGUCUUGCUGUCACUUAUAGAUGGAUCCGCGCUGCAUUAGAUAGUUGGUAAGGUAACGGCCUACCAAGGCAACGAUGCAUAGCCGAAGGCAGAGAGGGAUCGGCCACAUGGGAACGGAGACACCGACCAGACGCCUACGGGAGGCAGCAGUAGGGAAUCGGCCGCAAAGGGGGAAAGCCUGACGGAGCAGCGCCACGUGAGUGAUGAAGGCGUUGGGUUCGGAAAACUCUGUUACGAGGGAAGAACAGAUGUGUAAGUAACUGUGCACAGCGUGACGGUACCUAAUCAGAAAGCCACGGCUAACUACGUG
rnacentral:rRNA from 1 species